rnacentral:lncRNA from 1 species
GUGGGGAAAAGAAGAUAAUAAAGUCUGAAGGGAACGUUCUCCUUUGAAGGUUAUGCUAAAAGAGUUGAGAGAAUAGGAGGUGGAUCCUACAGAGAGAAGAGGGAGAGAGAGAAAGAGAGAGGGAGAGAGCAAUUUUCCUCCUGCUUUGCUGUUUUACUGGCCUUCACCACCAGGUGACUGACUUCACUUCUCUCUUCCCACAGCCAGCACUAAGGGGAUUUCUCUCAUCUGUCAAAAAGCAACAUUUCCUCUCCAGACAAAUACUGUCGCUGGGUCUUAAAGACUGCCCUCUGUCCGGAAUGCGCUAGGUGACAAGCAUUUUAAUUCAUUGCGAAUGUUGCCUCAUCUAGCUCCUAUGGAUCUGGGAGGAACAUGCUUGCUUCGUUCUCCUGCAUUCAAUUGGAUCUUUGCUGGUUUUGUUUUCAGGGUUAAAAAAAAAAAAGAAAAGAAAAGAAAAGGAACUUAAAAAAGACUUUUAAAGAUAGUGACAAAUAGGAAUAUUAAAAGAAAUUUCUUUCAGUGAUGUGAUGCUUCUUACGAUAAUGAAACCUUUUAUUGGAAAAUUGUUUCUUAAAUACUUGAAAGGUCAGUGGGUUUAACUCAUGGGUAGUAAAUUUGGGGAAAGAACUCAUUUUUUUCAUUGAAAUGUCUCCGUGUAAAAUCUUGACUUUUGAAUUUUUUUCAGAAAAAAAAACAGCUGUGUAAAUGCUUUUGUUUUUCAAAAGUAUUCUCCCC